rnacentral:lncRNA from 1 species
UACUUGUAUUUGCUCCAGCUACUAGAGCACACAGAGAGUAGCUCUUCAGUUAGGAGAGAGAAGUCAGGGAAGGCCUCCACAGAGGGUUAUUUUAGCUGAGCUUUAUAGAAAAACAUGGGGAAAGGACUUGAAAAAGUAUGUAGGUGACUUUUAGUAUCAGCUCCAACAUGUAAAGAGCUUGGAAGUCAUCACAUCCCUCCUCACAGCAAAAACAAACAAAAAACUGUACAGAUUGGAAUAUCAAUGGCUUUUCUUAGAUCCAUGGAAGAAUUAAAGUCAUAGGACAAACCACCACUCAAAACCCUGGAGAGACAGGCAAAUACAGAGAAUCACAAUUGGGAUCAGCUUACUGGGAGAAGAGGCUGCUGGUCAGUGACUGCUAGGAACACUAAAAUGACUCAUGGAGGUACUACCUUGAUGGUCUUGGAAAAGAUCCAGAAGAAUUCUCUGCAUUAUCAGGCAGAGAGACUCCUGUUCCAUUCUGUUACUUUCUUCCAAGCAAAAAGAGUCUCACUCUCCUUGUUCUGAGCCACAUAAAGCCGGCGGUGGAGUGACACAAGCAUCCCUGUGGCCACCACCACUAUGACUGCAUUGGGUCAGACCUGAAGCCAGCACAGCAGUGGGGCUUGCCAAGGCUGGCUGUAACCACUUCCUGGCUACUGCCUAUGUUUGCUGAAGGCCCUGGGGCUCUACAAUUAGCUGGUGGCAAAGCCGGCCAGGCCUGUGUCCUUCCCUUCAGAGCCGUGAGGUCCCCCAGGCCCCAGGUGAGUCCAGAGGUGCCUUUUGGGAAUCAGGGACUAGAGUAAAAAAACUUGGAAGUCUAGCUGGUGUUCUAUUGUACUGUGGCUGAGCUGGUAUUCAGACCACCAGAUGCAGUCCUUCCCACUCUUCCUUUCCCUUCCCAAAUGCAGAGGAGCCUCACCCCAUAGCCACUGUCAACCCAGGCCACGAGGAGUACUGCCAGGCUACCUCCAAUAUUCCCUUAAGCAUCGAGGUAUCUUAAGUCAAGCUUGUGUUGAAUGCUUCCUGCCUUGGGACUCGCCCUUCAGGGCAAUGGGUUCCCCUCUGGCCUGGGGCAGGUGCAGAAAUGGUGUCCAACAGUCAAGUCCUGGAAUCGGAGACCUCAAGAGCCCACUUGGUGCUUUACCCCACUGUGGCUGUGCUGGUACCUAAGGUGCAAGACAAAGCCCUCUUUACUUUUCCUUCUGCUUUUCUCAAACAGAAGGAGUUUUGCCUUGUUGCCACCACAGCUAGUAAUGUGCUGAGUCUCACCUGAAGCCAGCAAGUCUCAGAGGCUCAACCAAGGGCCUUGACAUAGUACCUAAAUGUAACUGCUGGUUAUUCAGGGUCCUGCCAACCUUCAGUUAGCAGGUGAUGAAUGCUGCCAGGACUGAGUCCUUUUCUUCAAGGUAGUGGGUUUCCUUCUGACCCAUGGUGUGUCUAGAAAUGUCAUCUGGGAACUAGGGCCUGGAAUGGGGGCCUCACGACUCUUCCCAGUCCCCUAUUCUGCCGCAGCUGAACUGGUAUCCAAGAUGCAAGAUGAAGUCCUCCCCACUCUUCUUUCUCCUCUCCACAAGCAGAAGGAAAGGGUCUCCUUUGGAGCCACGGGCUGUGCAGCCUGGAGUUAGGGAAGGGGUGACGCCAGCACGCCCUUGGCUGCCUUAGCUGGUGUCUCAGUAUGUCACCUGCCCUCCCAGUUAACUGCCUCUGGGCCUAGUUCAGCACUAGAACUCGCCUGAGAUCUGCAGUCUUCAUGGCCUGGGCUGCCUUUCAAGUUUACUUGGAGACCCAGACUGUAGCCCUCGGUGGUGAGGUUUGCAGGAACUCAAGUUUAGACCACUGGGAUCAGUGAUUCCCCUCUGGGUAGGGCUGUUAUUAAAUGCUCCCUCCAUGGGCAGGCGUCAGCUGAGUUGGGUGUGGUUUUCCUUCCUGCCGUAACAGGACAGCACUGAGUUCAGUGCAUCACAGUUGCUGUGUUCUCCCUCCCGUGCACGCAGAGAUAUCCUCAGUACCACAACACAGCUGCAGGGGCAGAGGGGCGUCAGUGAUUCAGGACUGUUUUUGCUAUUUCUUCGGUGUCUCUUUCAGCAUUAUAAAGUUAAGAGCAGGUACUAUGAGUGCUCACCUGAUUUUUAACACCUCAUGAAGUUGUUAAAUUGGUGUCCUUGUGGAGGGGGAUGAUAGCUGCAGUCUUCUAUUCCUCCAUUUUUCUCUGUCUCCUCAUUUUUUUUUUUUUUUUUUUGGAGACGGAGUCUUGCUCUGUCACCCAGGCUGGAGUGCAAUGGCACGAUCUCGGCUCACUGCAGCCUCCGCCUCCAGGUUCAAGCGAUUCUCCUGCCUCAGACUCCUGAGUAGCUGGGACUACAGGUGCUACCAUGAACAGCUAAAUUUAAUUUUUUUAAUUAUUAUAUAUUGUGGGCGAAGGAUUACCUAGGUGCCGAGGCAAGAGACUAAAGGCACAAACUGUUUCAGUAUAAUAAAGAAAAUAGAAUAAGAAUAGUCAUAAUACAAAUUAGAUAUAGAGAUGAUCGUGGACAAUUAUCAAUCAUUAUUAUAAACAUUAUUAAUCAUUAGCUUUUAAUAUUACUCUUUGUUGCAUUACUAAUAUAACCUAGGAAUAACCAGCGGGUAUAGGGUCAGGUGCUGAAAGCACAUUGUGACAAGUUACCUAGAAGGCAAGAGCUGAGCCUUCUGUCACGCCCGCAUAAGGGCCGCUUGAGGGCUCCUUGGUCAAGCGGUAAUGCCAGUGUCUGGGAAGACACCCACGACGUAGCAGACCGCAAAAGGGAGUCUCCUUUCCUUGGUGGAGUCAGGGAACACUCUGCUCCACCAGCUUCUUGUGGGAGGCUGGAUGUUAUCCAGGCCUGCCCACAGUUAUCCGGAGGCCUAAACCCCUCCCUGUGGUGCUGUGCUUCAGUGGUCACGCUCCUUGUCCACUUUCAUGCUCCUCCAGCACUCCUGGUUCCUCUUUGAAGUUCGUAGUAGAUAACGGUAGAAGAAAUAGUGAAAGGCUUAAAGUCUUUGACCUUUCUUAUAAGUGCAUAGAAGAAAACGCUGAUGUAUGCCACCUUCUCUCUGCUUCAGCUACCUAAAAGGGAAGGGCCCCCUGUCCUAUGAUCACAUGACUUGCUUCAACUUGUCAAUCACUUAGAAGAUUCACCCUCCUUACCCUGCCCCCUGGUCUUGUAUGCAAUAAAUAUCAGCGUGCCCAGCCAUUCGGGACCACUACCUGUCUCCGUGUCUUAAUGGUAGUGGUCCCCUGGGCCC